ensembl:piRNA 21ur-2113 ncRNA
UCCACCUGAUGCGGGAGUGAA